UAAGUAAGCCAGACAAUCGCUGCUGUAUAAUUACAGGAGAGGAAAGUCCGAGCUUCAUAGGGCAGGGUGCUGGGUAAUACCCAGUCAGGGUGACCUGAAGGAAAGUGCAACAGAAAUAUACCGCUGAAGCAACAAGAAAUUAUUGCUUCAGUAAGGAUGGAAAGGCGAGGUAAGAGCUCACCAGCGCAUUGGUGACUUUGCGGCUAUGUAAACCCCACCUGAAGCAAGAUCGAAUAGGAAAGCAUAUUAAAAAGUGGCCCGCUUUGCUUUCGGGUAGUAUCGCUGGAGCCUAUUGGUAACAAUAGGCCUAGAUAGAUGAUUGUCUAAUACAGAACUCGGCUUAUAGACUUACUUACCCA
rfam:Clostridium kluyveri DSM 555, complete genome.